GUCGACGCCCCCCGCGCCUUCGGACGUGGUGCGUGCGGAGAUGCUCGGAAGCUGCGGGUCGCCUCCCUCUUCCAUGCAGAUGCAGGAAAAGAAGCUUUCUAAGGACAACGUGAAAGAUUUAUCAGCUGAUCUACAAAAAGUCAUAGAUGACUACAUGAAAAAGAUCGAAUCCAUCCAGAAGCAGAAGGAACAAGUACUUUUUUGAUCUAUUUGUUGACUUUUUGUCUAACAAGACGUAGUGUUUGCUGGUUAUACGCUAUAACCUGAAGCGAGGAACUGAUGAAAAUUUAGACCUCAAGCUGACUGUAUGGCUGGUGAGGAAUAAUCGCCUCCGUGAAGCAUGGACCCCUGCAUAUGUUGGUGAAUUCACAAUGUAGUGAUGUGAUGUUUUCUGAAGCAAUUUGUUUGGUUCAUGGUUUUGGCGUCUCGGCGCUACGCCAGGGAUGCACGUUUUGAAUCAGGCGCUUUGCUGGAACUUUUGGGUGCACACAAGUUGAGACAAUGCUGCUGUUGUGUGUGUGUGUGUUUUGAGAUUAAGACAACGCUGCUGUGUUUUUUCUUUGAGAUU